AAUCCUACCCAGGAUCUCCCACUGCAUUUAGCUCUUUCUCCUUUGUUUUCUGCAAUCUGUGUCAGUUCCUUGGUUUUCCUUUGUCUUUCAUGAUCUUGACACUUUUGAAGAGUGCUGAUCAGUUAUGUUGUCAAGUGUCCCUCAGCUUGGGUCUGUCUGACGUUUCUCAUGACUGGAUGGGAGUGACGCAAUUUUUGACAAGAACACCAUAAAAGCCACGUGCCUGACAUUGUGGGACUCAUGGAGACAGGCUGCAAAGAGGGACAGCGCACCCCAGAGGAUGCCAGCCUGGGACAGCUGGCUGUGGCUGGUGCACCUGCGCUGACACAUCUCCCGGCUGUAACAGAGGCGUCCUGGAUGGAGCUCAGAGUGCACAGCCAUCCCUGAGGACAGAGGGAGGGGGCAGCCCCAAGGGUCCGCCUGCCUCUGGCCCAACUGUGGCUUGACCUCUCCACGCUCCAGAAUUGUGGUGAAGAGGGAAGAGAUGGGUUUCCUCAAAGCCUCCCACAUCUUUAUUUGAACAAAGAGCACAAAACAACGAUCUCUACACAAUGCAGAAAAAUGUGAACACAGACUAGGCAUCUUAUAUUAAGGAAUUAUUAAUUUUGUUGGAUGUGAUAAGAGCACUGCAGUUAUUUAACCAAGAAAAGUCUGUAUUUAGGGUAAAAUAAUGUUAUCUGGGAUUAAACAAACAAAAAAGCUCUCCAGCUCUUCUAAAAAAUGUGGGAGAUGAAUGAAAUAAGAUUGGCAAAAUGCUGAAGCUAGGUACAGGGUACACGGGGGUGGGGGUCAUAUUAUCCUCUUGACUUUGCGUUAGCUUGAAAAUUUCCCCAAUAGAGAGGUUUUGUUUUGUUGAAUUAAAAAAAAA